AUUUAGGUGGCUGAAGAUAAGUAUUGAUCUUUUAAAUCAAACCAUGGUAAAUAUUACCCCUAAAUA
rnacentral:tRNA from 1 species